rnacentral:rRNA from 1 species
AGGCCGGGGGCUGCUAUACAUGCAAGUCGAGCGGACAGAAGGGAGCUUGCUCCCGGAUGUUAGCGGCGGACGGGUGAGUAACACGUGGGUAACCUGCCUGUAAGACUGGGAUAACUCCGGGAAACCGGAGCUAAUACCGGAUAGUUCCUUGAACCGCAUGGUUCAAGGAUGAAAGACGGUUUCGGCUGUCACUUACAGAUGGACCCGCGGCGCAUUAGCUAGUUGGUGAGGUAACGGCUCACCAAGGCGACGAUGCGUAGCCGACCUGAGAGGGUGAUCGGCCACACUGGGACUGAGACACGGCCCAGACUCCUACGGGAGGCAGCAGUAGGGAAUCUUCCGCAAUGGACGAAAGUCUGACGGAGCAACGCCGCGUGAGUGAUGAAGGUUUUCGGAUCGUAAAGCUCUGUUGUUAGGGAAGAACAAGUGCAAGAGUAACUGCUUGCACCAUGACGGUACCUAACCAGAAAGCCACGGCUAACUACGUGCCAGCAGCCGCGGUAAUACGUAGGUGGCAAGCGUUGUCCGGAAUUAUUGGGCGUAAAGGGCUCGCAGGCGGUUUCUUAAGUCUGAUGUGAAAGCCCCCGGCUCAACCGGGGAGGGUCAUUGGAAACUGGGAAACUUGAGUGCAGAAGAGGAGAGUGGAAUUCCACGUGUAGCGGUGAAAUGCGUAGAGAUGUGGAGGAACACCAGUGGCGAAGGCGACUCUCUGGUCUGUAACUGACGCUGAGGAGCGAAAGCGUGGGGAGCGAACAGGAUUAGAUACCCUGGUAGUCCACGCCGUAAACGAUGAGUGCUAAGUGUUAGGGGGUUUCCGCCCCUUAGUGCUGCAGCUAACGCAUUAAGCACUCCGCCUGGGGAGUACGGUCGCAAGACUGAAACUCAAAGGAAUUGACGGGGGCCCGCACAAGCGGUGGAGCAUGUGGUUUAAUUCGAAGCAACGCGAAGAACCUUACCAGGUCUUGACAUCCUCUGACAACCCUAGAGAUAGGGCUUUCCCUUCGGGGACAGAGUGACAGUG